rnacentral:rRNA from 1 species
UACGAAGGGGGGCUAGCGUUGCUCGGAAUUACUGGGCGUAAAGGGCGCGUAGGCGGGUCGUUUAGUUAGAGGUGAAAGCCCAGGGCUCAACCCUGGAAUUGCCUUUAAUACUGGCGACCUUGAGUAUGGCAGAGGUGUGUGGAACUCCGAGUGUAGAGGUGAAAUUCGUAGAUAUUGGGAAGAACACCGGUGGCGAAGGCGGCUCACUGGCUCAUUACUGACGCUCAGGCGCGAUAGCGUGGGGAUCAAACAGG